rnacentral:rRNA from 1 species
UACGAAGGGGGCUAGCGUUGCUCGGAAUCACUGGGCGUAAAGGGUGCGUAGGCGGGUCUUUAAGUCAGAGGUGAAAUCCUGGAGCUCAACUCCAGAACUGCCUUUGAUACUGAAGAUCUUGAGUUCGGGAGAGGUGAGUGGAACUGCGAGUGUAGAGGUGAAAUUCGUAGAUAUUCGCAAGAACACCAGUGGCGAAGGCGGCUCACUGGCCCGGUACUGACGCUGAGGUGCGAAAGCGUGGGGAGCAAACAGGG